rnacentral:rRNA from 1 species
CAAUAGCGUAUAUUAAAGUUGUUGCAGUUAAAAAGCUCGUAGUUGGAUUUCUGGUGGGAGCGACCGGUCCGGCGCUUAGCGCGGGUACUUGUAGUCGUCUCCGGCCAUCCUUGGGGAGAGUUUGUCUGGCAUUAGGUUGUCGGGCAGAGGAUCCUCAUCGUUUACUGUGAAAAAAUUAGAGUGUUCAAAGCAGGCUUAUGCCGUUGAAUAUAUUAGCAUGGAAUAAUAAGAUAGGACUUUGGUACUAUUUUGUUGGUUUGCGCACCAAAGUAAUGAUUAAUAGGGACAGUUGGGGGUAUUCGUAUUCCGUUGUCAGAGGUGAAAUUCUUGGAUUUACGGAAGACGAACUACUGCGAAAGCAUUUACCAAGGAUGUUUUCAUUAA